ACAAACGAGGGCCCAGGUUCUGAAAGUG
rnacentral:sRNA from 1 species